rnacentral:rRNA from 1 species
AACGAACGCUGGCGGCAUGCCUAACACAUGCAAGUCGAACGAGACCUUCGGGUCUAGUGGCGCACGGGUGCGUAACGCGUGGGAAUCUGCCCUUGGGUUCGGAAUAACAGUUGGAAACGACUGCUAAUACCGGAUGAUGACGUAAGUCCAAAGAUUUAUCGCCCAAGGAUGAGCCCGCGUAGGAUUAGCUAGUUGGUGAGGUAAAGGCUCACCAAGGCGACGAUCCUUAGCUGGUCUGAGAGGAUGAUCAGCCACACUGGGACUGAGACACGGCCCAGACUCCUACGGGAGGCAGCAGUGGGGAAUAUUGGACAAUGAGCGAAAGCCUGAUCCAGCAAUGCCGCGUGAGUGAUGAAGGCCUUAGGGUUGUAAAGCUCUUUUACCCGGGAUGAUAAUGACAGUACCGGGAGAAUAAGCUCCGGCUAACUCCGUG